GUGAAUCAUCGAAUCUUUGAACGCAAAUUGCACUCUCUGGUAUUCCGGAGAGUAUGCCUGUUUGAGGGUCAGUUUAAAUAAAAAUCGAGGUGUUGCUGGAUUGUGACUCAUCGGAAUUGGGUUAUCUUUGACCUUUAAAAAGUUUAAGUGACCUAAGAUUGAUAUUUUGUGUAUAUGAGAGGUAUAUAAGAAUAUUUUUGUAUAAGUCAGGAGUUGGCAACUUUUUAUUAGGUAGGACCAUGGUGU
rnacentral:misc_RNA from 1 species